rnacentral:rRNA from 1 species
UGCGUAGACGGUUAUGUAAGUCGGGUGUGAAAGCCCCGGGCUCAACCUGGGAAUGCCAUUCGAGACUGCAUAGCUAGGGUGCGGAAGAGGGAAGCGGAAUUUCCGGUGUAGCGGUGAAAUGCGUAGAUAUCGGAAGGAACACCAGUGGCGAAAGCGGCUUCCUGGUCCAGCACCGACGUUCAGGCACGAAAGCGUGGGGAGCAAACAGGAUUAGAUACCCUGGUAGUCCACGCCAUAAACGAUGAGAACUAGACGUUGAGAGGGUAAGCCUCGCAGUGUCGUAGCUAACGCGCUAAGUUCUCCGCCUGGGGAUACGGCCGCAAGGUUGAA